GAUGAACGCUGGCGGCGUGCCUAAUACAUGCAAGUCGAGCGAACGGACGAGAAGCUUGCUUCUCUGAUGUUAGCGGCGGACGGGUGAGUAACACGUGGAUAACCUACCUCUAAGACUGGGAUAACUUCGGGAAACCGUAGCUACUACCGGAUAAUAUUUUGCACCGCAUGGUUCCAAAGUGAAAGACGGUCUUGCUGUCACUUAUAGCUGGCUCCGCGCUGCAUUAGCUAGUUGGUAAGGUAACGGCUUACCAAGGCAAGGAUGCAUAGCCGACCUGAGAGGGAGAUCGACUACACUGGAACUGAGACAGAGUCCAGACACCGACGGGAGGCAACAGUAGGGAAUCUUCCGCAAUGGACGAAAGGCUGACCGAGCAACGCCGCGGGAGUGAUGACGGUCUUCGGAUGGUUGAACGCUGUUAGUAGUAAGGAAGAUAUGUGUAAGUAACUGUGCAGAUCUUGACGGUACCUAAUCAGAAAGCCACGGCUAACUACGUG
rnacentral:rRNA from 1 species